rnacentral:tRNA from 1 species
GGGCCCGUGGCGCAGUUUGGAUAGCGCGUCGGCCCUCUAAGCCGGAGACCCUGGGUUCGAAUCCCAGCGGGCCCGCCA